CGGGAUUGGUAGCAAUACCAUGAGAGCGGCGCACGGGUGAGUAACGCGUACACGACCUACCUCUGACAGGGGGAUAGCCCUGGGAAACUGGGAUUAAUACCGCAUAUUAUUCUAAUUAAUAAAGGGUUGGAAUGAAAGUUCAGGCGGUCAGAGAUGGGUGUGCGUCUGAUUAGCUAGUUGGUAGGGUAAUGGCCUACCAAGGCGAUGAUCAGUAGGGGGCGUGAGAGCGUGAUCCCCCACACGGGUACUGAGACACGGACCCGACUCCUACGGGAGGCAGCAGUAAGGAAUAUUGGACAAUGGCCGCAAGGCUGAUCCAGCCAUCCAGCGUGCAGGAAGAAGGCCCUAUGGGUUGUAAACUGCUUUUAUCAGGGAAGAAACCUGUGGAUUCACUCCGCAGCUGACGGUACCUGAAGAAUAAGCACCGGCUAACUCCGUGCCAGCAGCCGCGGUAAUACGGAGGGUGCGAGCGUUAUCCGGAAUUACUGGGUUUAAAGGGUGCGUAGGCGGCUAUGUAAGUCAGGAGUGAAAGUUUGCGGCUCAACCGUAAAAUUGCUUUUGAUACUGCAUAGCUGGAAUUAGGAUGAGGUCAGCGGAAUGUGGCAUGUAGCGGUGAAAUGCAUAGAUAUGCCAUAGAACACCAAUUGCGAAGGCAGCUGACUAGACCUGGAUUGACGCUGAGGCACGAAAGCGUGGGGAGCGAACAGGAUUAGAUACCCUGGUAGUCCACGCCCUAAACGAUGCUUACUCGACGUAUGGCACUAGUUGUUGUGCGUCCAA
rnacentral:rRNA from 1 species